rnacentral:rRNA from 1 species
UACGUAGGGUGCAGGCGUUAAUCGGAAUUACUGGGCGUAAAGCGCGUGUAGGCGGAGCCGCAAGUCAGAUGUGAAAGCCCCGGGCUCAACCCGGGAACUGCAUCUGAAACUGCGGUUCUUGAGUACUGGAGAGGGUGGCGGAAUUCCUGGUGUAGAGGUGAAAUUCGUAGAUAUCAGGAGGAACACCGGUGGCGAAGGCGGCCACCUGGACAGUCACUGACGCUGAGACGCGAAAGCGUGGGGAGCAAACAGG